rnacentral:rRNA from 1 species
UACGUAGGGGGCUAGCGUUGUCCGGAAUCAUUGGGCGUAAAGCGCGUGUAGGCGGUUCGGUAAGUCCGCUGUGAAAGUCGGGGGCUCAAACCUCGAAAGCCGGUGGAUACUGUCGGACUAGAGUGCGGAAGAGGCGAGUGGAAUUCCUGGUGUAGCGGUGAAAUGCGCAGAUAUCAGGAGGAACACCAAUGGCGAAGGCAGCUCGCUGGGACGGUAUUGACGCUGAGACGCGAAAGCGUGGGGAGCAAACAGG